rnacentral:rRNA from 1 species
UCCUACGGGACGCAGCAGUGAGGAAUAUUGGUCAAUGGGCUUACGCCUGAACCAGCCAAGUCGCGUGAGGGAAGAAUGUCCUAUGGAUUGUAAACCUCUUUUGUCAGGGAGCAAAGUCACCCACGUGUGGGUGUUGGAGAGUACCUGAAGAAAAAGCAUCGGCUAACUCCGUGCCAGCAGCCGCGGUAAUGCGGAGGAUGCGAGCGUUAUCCGGAUUUAUUGGGUUUAAAGGGUGCGUAGGCGGGUUAUCAAGUCAGCGGUAAAAUCGUGGAGCUCAACUCCAUCCAGCCGUUGAAACUGAUGAU